GGAGAAGCUCGUGUCGGUGCCCCGGGCGGUGCGGAUGCACUGGACCGGCUGCCCCAACAGCUGCGGCCAGGUGCAGGUCGCCGACAUCGGCUUCAUGGGCUGCCUCACCAAGGACAGCGCCGGCAAGAUCGUUGAGGCGGCCGACAUCUUCGUCGGCGGCCGCGUCGGCAGCGACUCGCACCUCGCCGGCGCGUACAAGAAGUCCGUGCCGUGCGACGAGCUGGCGCCGAUCGUCGCCGACAUCCUGGUCGAGCGGUUCGGGGCCGUGCGGAGGGAGAGGGAGGAGGACGAGGAGUAGGAACACAGACUGGGGUGUUUUGCUUGCUCCGGUGAUCUCUCGCCGUCCUUGUAAAGUAGACGACAAUAUGCCUUCGCCCA
rnacentral:misc_RNA from 1 species